rnacentral:lncRNA from 1 species
GGCCAGGUGGGGGGGUCGCCACGAUGACAAGGACCGGCCCUCCUUUGUGACCUCUGUUGCUUCUCCCUAAAAAGCCACCGACUUGCAGGAGGCCUUUGUGGGUUAGGCGUGAGGCGAGUGGAGGAGAGAGGAGUUGGUGGCGGUUGGCGGAGAUUGGGGAAGGAGUUCGGUUUAUUGUUCUUUUUCCAGUUUCUUAUUUUGCUUCCCAUUUCAUUUAAUACUUUUAUUUGAUUUAUUAUUUUAGUUUUUUGUUUUAACACUUUUAUCUUAUUGUUCUUUAUUUUAAUAUUUUUUAUUUUAUUUUGUGCACAUUUUGUAUAUAUUUGCAUAUAUUUAUUUUGUACAUAGAGGGGUAGUUAAGGUUAGGCUUAGGCUUAGGGCUGCGGUUGGGGUCAGAAGUUAGGCUUGGAUGGGCAUUUUAGACAGCUAGUUUAGAGAGGAAGGUGGGAUUUCUUCCUGGACAAAAUGGACAGGCUGUAAGUGUUGGGAUACUGCCAGGGAGACGAAGGCAUCAAGCAGGCCUCCACGUCGCCUCCGGAUGAUCUCCCAGUCUCUCGUUGAACAGCAUCAGUCAAUUAGCGACACGAGCUUCAGAGACAUUCCAAGACUCGUGCACACCCUUUUCAGCAGUCUCCACAACGGAAGAUUCAGAUAGGAGAGCAUAUUUACAGCUUUAUUCAACGUAGAUCAGAAGAAAGGAAAAACAUGACUGCUUGCAUCCGUGUCCAGGAAAACAGCCAAACCAAAAACUAUAUACAAAACGGAAGUUCCCAGAGAGAACAGUGCUGGGAGUAAACAGGCAUGUGACACACAAUAAUCAUGUCUGACCAUUUAAGGUGGAACGGAACUAUAUCCUAACAGUAAGUAGGAUUCUUUCCCUUGGUCUUGGUCUCUGGGGGGGGGUGAGUCCUGGGGUCUCUUGCACAGUCUUGGCUCUCUGGAAAUUGACCCGGCCAGUCUUCUCUAGAGAGCUCAGCUCCUCCAAACUCAUUCUCUGCCUUCCCCUUUUCUCUCCCCUCUCAUCAUCCGCUUUUAUUAGGACAUUCCUAGCCCACUUUCCUCCCAGGAGCUCAAAGUGGCCUUCAUGGUUCUCCCUGCCACCAAUUUUUAUCUUCCCAGCAGCCCUGCAAAGUAGGCCUGGCUGGCCCAAGGUCCACCAGGGAGCUUCAUGGCUCAGUGGGGAUUCGAACUCUGCUCUUCCCAGUCCUCCUAGUCCAGCCCUCCAACCACUGCACCUCUCCCUGGCUCCAUCUUGCAUCUUUCCAGCUGCCCAACGCCAUCGGCCUUCUCCCCCUUCAUGGGGGUCUCUCUGGUUCCAAGGAAGACUCCACCACCUUCCUCUCUCGGCCCCCCGCACAGACACAAACACCCCCCACCCAUUGGGGCUCCUGGGUCACUCUCUCCCCCCCCCACUCCUCUCUUCUAGGUUCAGGUGGUUCAGGGCCCUGUUCAGCUGCCAGCAGAGGAACAGGGUGGCCCCGCUGCAAGUCCGGGAGGAGCCCGUGGUGAUAGGUGAGCAAGUUUGGAGACCGGAGGGCUAGGGGGCAUCUCAGGGUGCAGUUCUCUGGCUGCCUCCCCCCGAAAGAGCUGGCUUUCCUCCUCUGCUCUCUUGCAGGACAUCUUGGGGCACUUGGAGCGCUUCAGGGAUCAAUCCCUGAGCCUGGCCCUGGCCCUCCUCCAGCUGAGGUGAGGGGGUUCUUUGGGAUGGACGGGGUUGUGGGGGUGGGUGGUGGACAGAAUUCCAGGGGGAGCUCUGGGUGGGGAAGAGCAGGCAGGAGGGAGAAGGGGGCAAGGGAGACUCAGAGGAGGCAGCAUCUAACCCUCUCCCCUUCAUCUCUGCAGCAUCAUGAGGCCAAAGUUCAGCAGCGAUGUGCCCAGUGCUAUCCUGCACAGGAUGUUUGAGGCAGUGCUGAAAGGGGCUGAGAAGGUGGAGGACAGAGAAGUAUGUCUUGACUUCCCUUUGCUCAGCUCUUUCUUCUUCUCACACCCUUGCAAGAUUUAACCCAGCACUCAACCUCUCUUCUCUUUUCCCGCAGGAACUGAAGGGGCAUUUCCAAAGCCUGCUGGGGGGUCCUCCACUUCAGAGAUGGGCAUCUCAAUUCUCCACACAACUUUCCAGGCCAACUAGAGGGAAAGAAUGAGAGGACAGGGAGGUCUGUCCUUAGUCCUCUUUACUUUUCCUUUGAGGCAGCAGCACUGAGGGGCCUUUGGACCAUCCAGCUGCCCAAGAAUCGCACUGCAGAGUCCAUUCUGGUUGUGUGAAUGACCCCAGGAGGGAGCUGUCAGGGGAUGGCAGAGGUGCCCUCCUGAUGCCCCUGGAAGGACCUGACUUUCCUCCUCUGCUCUCUUCCAGGACAUCCUGGCGCGCCUGGGGCGUUUUUACGAGCGCCCAUAAUCCAAACUUCUCCGACCUCUGCAGUGCAAUAGUCCGCAGGAGGUUUGAGACACUCCUGAAGGAAGAACAGGAGGUGAACAGGAAGGUUUGUCAUUGGUCUUGACUUCUCUUGACAUGGCUCUUUCUUCUUCCUCUUCACACACUUCCACAACUGCACUCAGGACUCAAAAUCUCUUCUCUCUUUUCCUUCCUUGCCCUUCGGGGACCUACUGGCUUGAACAUGGAAGUGAAGUGGCACUUCCAUCAUCUGCUCUGACAGAGACCCCCAAUGCUCCGCACCUCCUUCUCCUGCUUAACGUAAGUGUCCUGAUGGCAUCAGAGAUGGUAAAGGGAUGCCAGGGACUCUGUGGUGGAGGCAGCGGAGGGCCACUUUGGCCCAGGCUGGCCCCUGACUUUGAGAUGCUCUUUCUAUCCACAGGACCUCUGAUGUUACGCCCUUUGGGAAAGUGGGGAGGAACAGAAACUAGUGGCCAACAGCAUCCCUUCUCUGCUGGCCUUUGCCCGAAGUUCCCCCAUCUCAGAGCAAGUAGAUUCAGUCCUUUGAACACUUCCAUCUCCCCAAGAGACUCCCAAGGCUACUCAUCCUCUGCAGUUGAGAACAGACCUAACUGAAAAGAACAGCUUCCUCUUCUGGUGACACAAGAGAAUUCUAGAAGACAUUCACCCUUUCCAUAGCAUUAUGGAUGCAUGACAGUUCUUUAGUUGGAAUCUCCUUUCUCACAAGUCAUUUGGGUCCUUGUCUCCAGAGCAGGAGCAGGUGCAAGCUUCUUGCAUCUUCCAUGUGGGAGCCCUUUGGGUAUUUGAAGACGGCUCUCAAGUCAUGUCUCCGUCUCCCCUUCUCCAGGCUAAACAUCCCCAACUGUGAAAUCCACUUAAAAAAUAAUAAUAAUCUAGCCUUUUUGCAGUUUGGAAAAUGAAGGGUAAAUGCAUUGAAAAGUGUGGUGGGAAGACUUUUAAGAAAUUGGGAUGAGUGUUCAUGGUCCUAUACCUGCCCCACAAAGAAAUCUGAAUUGGAUAGAAUCUGAUCUCCGUGUGCAGGACCUUAGAUUUGUCCCUCUUGAAAUUCUUUCCUGCUCUGUGCCAGACUCCAAAGCUGGACUUGGGGCUUUAUGGGAAACCUAAUGCAGAAGCAAGAUCUGUAAGGGGGGGGGGUGCUAAGAGCCCCUCCAUCCUGUGCUCAGGUUGUAUAUAUGUGCAAAUAAAACCAGGUAUCCUGAAGACUCCACAGUCUCUGCUAACCUUCAUUCCCAGAAAACUAAACCCCGGG